UACGUAGGGUGCAAGCGUUAAUCGGAAUUACUGGGCGUAAAGCGUGCGCAGGCGGUGAUGUAAGACAGUUGUGAAAUCCCCGGGCUCAACCUGGGGACUGCAUCUGUGACUGCAUUGCUGGAGUGCGGCAGAGGGGGAUGGAAUUCCGCGUGUAGCAGUGAAAUGCAUAGAUAUGCGGAGGAACACCGAUGGCGAAGGCAAUCCCCUGGGCCUGCACUGACGCUCAUGCACGAAAGCGUGGGGAGCAAACAGG
rnacentral:rRNA from 1 species